rnacentral:hammerhead_ribozyme from 1 species
GCAUUGCUGAAUAGUUCCACAAUAGGACGAAACGGCCGUCCAAUGC